rnacentral:tRNA from 1 species
NNNGGUGUAGCUCCAAUUGGCAGAGCAGCGGAUUCCAAAUCCGCGUGUUGGGAGUUCGAAUCUCUCCACCCCUGCCA